rnacentral:rRNA from 1 species
AGCGGCGGACGGGUGAGUAACACGUGGGCAACCUGCCUUGUAGAGAGGAAUAGCCAUUCGAAAGGAUGGUUAAUACCUCAUAAUAUUGUAGCUUCGCAUGAAGCAACAAUCAAAGGAGCAAUCCACUACAAGAUGGGCCCGCGGCGCAUUAGCUAGUUGGUGAGGUAACGGCUCACCAAGGCGACGAUGCGUAGCCGACCUGAGAGGGUGAUCGGCCACAUUGGGACUGAGACACGGCCCAGACUCCUACGGGAGGCAGCAGUGGGGAAUAUUGCACAAUGGGGGAAACCCUGAUGUAGCAGCGCCGCGUGAGUGAUGACGGUCUUCGGAUUGUAAAGCUCUGUCUUCAGGGACGAUAAUGACGGUACCUGAGGAGGAAGCCACGGCUAACUACGUGCCAGCAGCCGCGGUAAUACGUAGGUGGCAAGCGUUGUCCGGAUUUACUGGGCGUAAAGGGAGCGUAGGCGGAUUUUUAAGUGGGAUGUGAAAUACCCGGGCUUAACCUGGGUGCUGCAUUCCAAACUGGAAGUCUAGAGUACAGGAGGGGAAAGCGGAAUUCCUAGUGUAGCGGUGAAAUGCGUAGAGAUUAGGAAGAACACCAGUGGCGAAGGCGGCUUUCUGGACUGUAACUGACGCUGAGGCUCGAAAGCGUGGGGAGCGAACAGGAUUAGAUACCCUGGUAGUCCACGCCGUAAACGAUGAGUACUAGCUGU